rnacentral:misc_RNA from 1 species
CCAAUAGCGUAUAUUAAAGUUGUUGUGGUUAAAAAGCUCGUAGUUGAACCUUGGGCCUGGCUGGCCGGUCCGCCUCACCGCGUGUACUGGUCCGGCCGGGCCUUUCCCUCUGUGGAACCCCAUGCCCUUCACUGGGUGUGGCGGGGAAACAGGACUUUUACUUUGAAAAAAUUAGAGUGCUCCAGGCAGGCCUAUGCUCGAAUACAUUAGCAUGGAAUAAUGAAAUAGGACGUGCGGUUCUUUUUUUUUGGUUUCUAGGACCGCCGUAAUGAUUAAUAGGGACAGUCGGGGGCAUCAGUAUUCAAUUGUCAGCGGUGAAAUUCUUGGCUUUAUUGAAGACUAACUACUGCGAAAGCAUUUGCCAAGGAUGUUUUCAUUAAUCAGGAACGAAAGUUAGGGGAUCGAAGACGAUCAGAUACCGUCGUAGUCUUAACCAUAAACUAUGCCGACUAGGGAUCGGACGAUGUUAUUUUUUGACUCGUUCGGCACCUUACG